AUACGGAGGAUGCAAGCGUUAUCCGGAUUCAUUGGGUUUAAAGGGUGCGCAGGCGGAUUGGUAAGUCAGGGGUGAAAUCCCACAGCUCAACUGUGGAACCUGCCUUUGAUACUGUCAGUCUAGAGUAUAGUUGAAGUUGGCGGAAUGUGUCAUGUAGUGGUGAAAUGCUUAGAUAUGACACAGAACACCGAUCGCGAAGGCAGCUAGCUAAGCUAUAACUGACGCUCAUGCACGAAAGCGUGGGGAUC
rnacentral:rRNA from 1 species